rnacentral:rRNA from 1 species
AACGAACGCUGGCGGCAUGCCUAACACAUGCAAGUCGAACGAGAUCUUCGGGUCUAGUGGCGAACGGGUGCGUAACGCGUGGGACUCUGCCCCUUGGUUCGGAAUAACAGAUGGAAACGACUGCUAAUACCGGAUGAUGACGAAAGUCCAAAGACUUAUCGCCAGAGGAUGAGCCCGCGUAGGAUUAGCUAGUUGGUGUGGUAAAGGCGCACCAAGGCGACGAUCCUUAGCUGGUCUGAGAGGAUGAUCAGCCACACUGGGACUGAGACACGGCCCAGACUCCUACGGGAGGCAGCAGUGGGGAAUAUUGGACAAUGGGCGAAAGCCUGAUCCAGCAAUGCCGCGUGAGGGAUGAAGGCCUUAGGGUUGUAAAGCUCUUUUACCCGGGAUGAUAAUGACAGUACCGGGAGAAUAAGCUCCGGCUAACUCCGUGCCAGCCGCCGCAGUAA